UUUGUUAACUGCCUUUCUCCAAACCACUUUUUAAAUUACGAAUUAUACAUGCAAUUUAAUGAGACGGCAAAAACUUAAGGCAACUGAAAAAUAGGCAGAGGAUGUAAAUAGCUAUUUUAUAGGAGCAAUGCACAAGGCAAUGGCCAUAUGCGGUGGGUGUUUAACUUCUUGGAAGAUGAGAAAUUAUAAUUAUCUAGAUGUUUCCAGGACCUGGAGCUGUGAUUCAGUUUGAAUUUCCCCAGAAAUGUCCUUAGCUGGAGACAAGGCUGAGCAAAUGAAAGAUCAUUAAACCAACUUCUCUCUGGUGCCAUGUUGGCAUUCCCAAAGAAGAUUCAUGAUUGGAUUAUGUUCCUGGGCAACAUAAAUCAAACCUGAUGGCAGGGAUAUGUUGAUAGCUUGAAAUCACCUCAGCCCAGAGAAGAGUACUAAAGGGGAAGGAGCUAAUCCACCAGCGUCACCUUUGACUUUGUGCAUCCUAUGGUUGCUAAGCAAAUGCUUACAUGAUGAGUAUGUGCCAACCAAAGAAUGAGAAGAAGAGGAAGAAAGAACAGAGUGAUAUAUGAGACUGGAAAAUAUUUGAAUAUGAGGGAGCAGAUUAUGAAGAGCUGGUGAUUCAGCAGCAAAGAUGUGUUGACCAUGCAAUUUCAUGUGGAUAAAGAACCAAAGGAAGACUGAGAGGAGCUGCAACCCCACAGAAAUACAUUGACAGUUCCCAGUAACUGGGUUAUUUAUGACAGAAGAAUUCACACACACACACUCUCUCUCUCUCUCUCUCUCUCUCUCUCUCUCUCUCUCUCUCUCUCUGAAGUUUGGAGAUCUGUGGUUCUCUACAUUCACCUUUCUUUCACCUGAUGUCAGUCAAAAUGAGAGUCAUCAUUUCACACAAGUGAUGGCCAGAAUAUGUGAUGGCUAGCAUUUAAAUGGAAAAGGAAGACCUUGCCAUCAUAGAACCUGGCUCAUAUGCUUAAAGAAGUCUAAGCUCUGGUUGCUGAAAACAGGCAGCACUUUUUGAAUCUUGUUCGCAGGGAUCAUGGAGGUCAUGCAAAGAUGUGGUCCAGCUGGGGUGGGGUCUGAGACCAAUUAUGGAUGCUGCUGUCUCCACACCACACUCACAUUAGUCUGACUUUUAGAUGUGGUGACAAGGUAUGUGGUGGGAAUGAGUCCCUUAGAAUCAGUGUGACAGAAUUUCACCAGGAGGAUUCUUUCCAUCAGCCUUCUCUGCCCUCAUUCAUACCCAAAGCUGAACUUUUCAGAGUGUAGGCAUCUUUCUCCAUCCUUAGUCAUGUGUGUGUAUCUGUCUGUACAUGUAAAAAUCAGAGGGCAACCUUGGCUUUUAUUCCUUUGGAACCAUACACCUUGUUUUUAUUUUGUUUAUUACUUUUAUUUUGUUUGUUUUCUGAGACCGGUCUCUCACUGGCCUUCAAUAUUCCAAACAGACUAUUCUGGCUGGCUGGUGAGCCUCAAGGAUCUGCCUGCCUCUGCCUCUGCCUCUGCCUCUGC